rnacentral:rRNA from 1 species
GCCCUAGUAACGGCGAGUGAAGCGGCAACAGCUCAAAUUUGAAAUCUGGCGUCUUUGGCGUCCGAGUUGUAAUUUGCAGAGGGCGCUUUGGCAUUGGCAGCGGUCCAAGUUCCUUGGAACAGGACGUCACAGAGGGUGAGAAUCCCGUACGUGGUCGCUAGCCUUUACCGUGUAAAGCCCCUUCGACGAGUCGAGUUGUUUGGGAAUGCAGCUCUAAAUGGGAGGUAAAUUUCUUCUAAAGCUAAAUACUGGCCAGAGACCGAUAGCGCACAAGUAGAGUGAUCGAAAGAUGAAAAGCACUUUGGAAAGAGAGUUAAAAAGCACGUGAAAUUGUUGAAAGGGAAGCGCUUGCAGCCAGACUUGCCUGUAGUUGCUCAUCCGGGUUUCUACCCGGUGCACUCUUCUACGGGCAGGCCAGCAUCAGUUUGGGCGGUUGGAUAAAGGUCUCUGUCAUGUACCUCCUCUCGGGGAGAUCUUAUAGGGGAGACGACAUGCAACCAGCCUGGACUGAGGUCCGCGCAUCUGCUAGGAUGCUGGCGUAAUGGCUGUAAGCGGCCCGUCUUGAAACACGGACCAAGGAGUCUAACAUCUAUGCGAGUGUUUGGGUGUCAAGCCCGAGCGCGUAAUGAAAGUGAACGGAGGUGGGAACCUUUCGGGGUGCACCAUCGACCGAUCCUGAUGUCUUCGGAUGGAUUUGAGUAAGAGCAUAGCUGUUGGGACCCGAAAGAUGGUGAACUAUGCUUGAAUAGGGUGAAGCCAGAGGAAACUCUGGUGGAGGCUCGCAGCGGUUCUGACGUGCAAAUCGAUCGUCAAAUUUGGGCAUAGGGGCGAAAGACUAAUCGAACUAUCUAGUAGCUGGUUCCUGCCGAAGUUUCCCUCAGGAUAGCAGUAACGUUUUCAGUUUUAUGAGGUAAAGCGAAUGAUUAGAGGCCUGGGGGUUGAAACAACCUU